UACGGGGGGUGCGAGCGUUGUCCGGAAUCACUGGGCGUAAAGGGCGCGUAGGUGGUUUGAUAAGGGUGUGGUGAAAGUCCGGGGCUCAACCCCCGGAUCUGCCGUGCCGACUGUCAAACUCGAGGACUGUAGAGGCAGACGGAAUUCCGGGUGUAGCGGUGGAAUGCGUAGAGAUCCGGAGGAAGACCGGUGGCGAAGGCGGUCUGCUGGGCAGUUUCUGACACUGAGGCGCGACAGCGUGGGGAGCAAACAGGG
rnacentral:rRNA from 1 species